GACGAACGCUGGCGGCGUGCUUAACACAUGCAAGUCGAACGGAAAGGCCCUGCUUUUGUGGGGUGCUCGAGUGGCGAACGGGUGAGUAACACGUGAGUAACCUGCCCUUGACUUUGGGAUAACUUCAGGAAACUGGGGCUAAUACCGGAUAGGAGCUCCUGCUGCAUGGUGGGGGUUGGAAAGUUUCGGCGGUUGGGGAUGGACUCGCGGCUUAUCAGCUUGAUGGUGGGGUAGUGGCUUACCAAGGCUUUGACGGGUAGCCGGCCUGAGAGGGUGACCGGCCACAUUGGGACUGAGAGACGGCCCAGACUCCUACGGGAGGCAGCAGUGGGGAAUAUUGCACAAUGGGCGGGAGCCUGAUGCAGCAACGCCGCGUUCGGGAUGACGGUCUUCGGGUUGUAAACCGCUUUCGCCUGUGACGAAGCGUUAGUGACGGUAAUGGGUAAAGAAGCACCGGCUAACUACGUG
rnacentral:rRNA from 1 species